rnacentral:tRNA from 1 species
GGGGGUGUAGCUUAGUGGUAGAGCACUUGCCUAGUAUGUGUGAGGCCCUAGGUUCAAUCCCUAGCACUGCAA